AAGCCCAUUAUGGUUUGGGCUCAUCAACAUCGCAAUCGAUUCGAGUAUUUGGAUUUUGAUACCAAAUUUUGAUAACCCUUUUUGCUAAAUGUUACACAAACUAGUAACUAAAGAGUAACGACAAAUUACAAAGUAUUAUUGUAUUUUAUAAGUUCUUAUAGCUUUUAUGUUGUGAAUUUGAAAAAUGUGUAGUUCAAGCAAGUUAUCCAUUCUGAUGACUUAGAAAUAAUUUCCAACUAUCUCCAAUUGUAAUAGGACUUCAAACAAGUCUCCAACCAUGUUCUUUACCAUUGUCUGGACAAUAAUACCAAGAGAAAAUACAAAUCGUUAGAAGUUAUGACUUCUCAUUUUACUUGUGUACUACUAUCUUAUCACAAUUUCUUCAUCAUUAUAUAUGUUUCUUUCUACUUAAAUACAUUUUUACCAUUUUGAAAAAAAAUUACUCAAAGUUAGAGUGAUUUUCCAAAUACAUUAUAAAUUUAAAAUAUAUUUUAAUAUAAAAUAGGUUUAUUGUAAAGUCACCUGUCCUAAGAAAUUACCUCACCACACGGUGGCUGCCGAUCAUUCCGGCGCCGGGAACCUAAUAGAAUGUUGGAACGCGGGUUGGAGCUUAAGUCUUGCGUCGAUAAGAUAGUCAAGUUCUUCAUUAGCCGUAACGGUAUGGUUGAACUGGGUGUAUCUGCUGGAAUUGAUAAAGAUUGUUGCGGAGCCAUUGGGUUGAUUGUGAAAGAGUGUUGGUUCGUUAUGUUUACUUCUUUAGGACUUACCACUAUGGAAGGGAAUAUGCUCAGUGAGCAUUGUGGUUUUCAAGCGGAGAAGCCUGUAUUGUCUCAGUCUCCGUCGCCUGAAACUCUGGUUUUAUCUCCGGUUUAAGUUAAAUAUCCGGGACUUGAUUAAAAUUAUAAUAAUGCAUAAGGUUUUCUAAUUUGUUUCUUUCAGUUUGGGUUUAAAUAAACGAAUCAAAAGGUUUAUUUUCUAAAUAACAUGUGAAGCACGUUUGCUUUCUCAAUGCCACGGCCAGAAAAGGUUGAUAUAAGCAGAUUGGAUUUGUGGCCAUUUUUCACGGUUUUUAAGUAUAUCCAGUCACCAAACCGGAUUUACACCCGGGGAAAAUAACCUAAACCGGAAUCUCAACUACCCAUUUUAUUUGCUUCCUGGGUUAGAUCAUAUCGAAGCUCGUCCUCAUGUAUUAAUCUCUAGACUCACCUGAUGGUUUCUCCUGCAAUCUAGACAAUAUUCAAUAGACAAAGCUUGUUCUACCAAAAUCUUCAAUAGCGUCCCAGGAACCUAGAAUUUGAAGUAAUUCGUUCUUCCUCUUCCUUAUAUGGGGUGUUUUUCACGACUUUGUGUUUGGUCCAUUUAUCCAUUAAAUCUUUUGGGCUAAACUAAUUGGCCUCUAAAAGACACGUGAUAUAUCGUUAUUGUCGAUCACUGAUCAUUAGUAUUGUUUGUUGUUGUUCUACAUUGGAUGCUGACGCCGUAUUAUAUAAGAAUGCAACGUUUAAAUUUUGUGAAGCAAAUUUUCUUUAUUUCAUUGACGACAAGUACGAUAGCUCUUCUUGACUAAACCAUGAUUUGUUUUGCUUUCUCUUCUUUAUAGCUGUCUUUUUUUCUUUCGUUUUAGACGGUAGGGUUCACUUUAAAACACGAGGAAGAAAAAGAAUGGGGAAGCGUAUAUUCCUUGAAUGCAUCCUUCUCAUAAUUUGCAUAAUCAUCAAAACUGAGGGUUUGAAAGUACGUGGCUACCUACACAACGCUGCAGCCUGCAGGUUUCUCCACUACACCUUUUAGAAGAGUAUUUUAAUUUAGAGUAAUUGCACCAUACACAUAAGACUUACCAAGUAAUUUGCAAAAUAUCCAUUUGUGUAUUUCUUAGGUAUUGUCGAAACUUUCUGGACCGAUAUACCCCUAUCAUGCAUCCGUAUUUAUUUUAUUUUUAGUGCACAUAAUAAGCCGCCUCCACUCCGUAAAAUAAUCUCCGUCUCUUCCAUGGCCACUGAUUAAUGUCCCUAGACAUACUUCUUGAUUUUUAGUGUCCCUAAACAUACUUCUUGAUCCACAUUCUUUAUAGUGUCUGAUUAACAGUUUGGGUGGGCCCUACAACUCUCUUUCCUCACUCCUUACGUUCAGCUUCUCAGUAUCCCUCACAAAUGGUUGUCUCUCAUCUGGCUAUGUGGUCCAGUCUCCAGCAUGAUUGUUCAACCCAUCGUCGACUGCAAGUUUGGUAAAAGCCGCUGGCGUCGAGAUUGAGUCAUACUGGCCAAUGGUAUUCACCAAGAUGGCUGAGAAGCGUAACUUCACUGAUUUCAUCCUGAAUAUAACGUUACUGAUUUCAUCAUGAAUGCCAAUGCUGGUGGCAGUGGAGGUGGUGCGCCUGUUGCAACUGCUGGUGGUGGAGGAGCUGCCGUUGCUGCUCCUGCUAAGGAGGAGAAGAAAGAUGAACCAACACGAGAGAAUGAUGUAGAUCUUAGAUUGGCUUAAUACUAGCUUAACUUGUUACGAAUAUUUAUCGUGAUAAUCAUACCAUUAAAGAUUUCCUGCAAA